rnacentral:rRNA from 1 species
AUGAAAAUUAACAUAUCCAAGGCCUUUGAUACACUAUCAUGGGAAUUUCUUCUGGAGGUGAUGUCUGGUCGGGGUUUCGGUUGGAGGUGGCGCUCCUGGAUAUGCGGGCUGCUAUCCACUGCGUCCACAUCAGUGCUCAUCAACGGC